UUCAUUUUUCUUGAGUUUCAUGUGUUUAGG
rnacentral:piRNA from 1 species